GACCAAGGUUCGGCUCGAGCGUCAGCGAGAGAGCGUUGCCGCAGGCAACGACCCGAAGGGCGAAGCGCGCAGCGCUGAGUAAUCCUUCCCCCACCACCA
rnacentral:sRNA from 1 species